GAUGAAGAACGCAGCGAAAUGCGAUAAGUAAUGUGAAUUGCAGAAUUCAGUGAAUCAUCUAAUCUUUGAACGCACAUUGCGCCCGCCAGUAUUCUGGCGGGCAUGCCUGUUCGAGCGUCAUUUCAACCAUCAAGCCCCCGGCUUGUGUUGGGGACCUGCGGCUGCCGCAGGCCCUGAAAACCAGUGGCGGGCUCGCUAGUCACUCCGAGCGUAGUAAUACAUCUCGCUCAGGGCGUGCUGCGGGUUCCGGCCGUUAAAAAGCCUUAUUUACCCAAGGUUGACCUCGGAUCAGGUAGGAAGACCCGCUGAACUUAAGCAUAUCAAUAAGCGGAGGA
rnacentral:misc_RNA from 1 species